GUGCUUGCUUUGGCAGAACAUAUAUUAAAACUGGAACAAUACAGAGAUCAGUCUGGCCCCUGUGCAAAAAUGACACUCAAAUUUGUGAUGCGUUCCAUAUUUUA